rnacentral:rRNA from 1 species
GACGAAGGAUGCAAGCGUUAUCCGGAUUCAUUGGGUUUAAAGGGAGCGUAGGCGGAUAGGUAAGUCAGUGGUGAAAUCCCAUCGCUUAACGAUGGAACUGCCAUUGAUACUGCUUAUCUAGAGUACAGUUGCCGUUGGCGGAAUAUGACAUGUAGUGGUGAAAUACUUAGAUAUGUCAUAGAACACCGAUUGCGAAGGCAGCUAACGAAGCUGUAACUGGCGCUGAGGCUCGAAAGUGCGGGGAGCAAACAGG